rnacentral:rRNA from 1 species
UACAGAGGUCUCAAGCGUUGUUCGGAUUCAUUGGGCGUAAAGGGUGCGUAGGCGGCGGCGUAAGUCGGGUGUGAAAUCCCAGGGCUCAACCCUGGAACUGCAUUCGAUACUGCGUCGCUGGAGGACUGGAGAGGAGACUGGAAUUCACGGUGUAGCAGUGAAAUGCGUAGAUAUCGUGAGGAGGGCCAGUGGCGAAGGCGAGUCUCUGGACAGUUCCUGACGCUGAGGCACGAAGGCCAGGGGAGCAAACGGG